GGGAUAAGAAGAAAUAU
rnacentral:miRNA from 1 species